CUUUGGGUUUGAAUAGCAAAUUGCUUUGCCUAUGCCAAUCCGCCUCGGAUAAGGAGUGUCGGAUGGUUGAGGCAAGCUUUGAGAGCAAGGCUGCUGUGUGGCAGUGACUGUAAACCUGUGCUGGUGAGGCAACCUUCGCCGGUUAGCUUCCAAGCAUACUUCUGCCGGUGUGUCAUGUAGGGAUCGCAUCCCCGUGGCAUGUGGGCUGUAGCGCCUUCGGUGAGUCGCUCGGCUUUCAGACCUUGUGAUGCAUCGAUGAGUGCUGAGCUUCCAAUGUUUCCUUGAAUGAAAGCUUCAUUCUUAGCAUGAAGCGGGAGUUUGACUGAACAUCACGUUUUGUGAUCGCAUCAGCUCUUGGGAGAGUGACGCACAUUCAGCUUGAUCCUCGGAACUUGAACGGUUCUGUGCUGCCGGGCGAGUGCUCACAGUGACAUUGCUGCUGCUGCUGAGCCUCGUUUCUGAUGGGUUCGAUCUGCUGAGUUUGCCGAGCUCAAACGGGCAUGUAUCACCAGCCCUGGGCUUUUCAUUAAGCGGGCAGAUACU
rnacentral:misc_RNA from 1 species